AGCACGCGUCAAGGAGGCUCCUCCAGAUGAUGGAAUCAGGACGGCAGUUCAUCCCGGCCACAACAUCGAGGGCCUCCUCGAUGAACCCCGCCCGUGCAAGGAUGUCCACCAUGCACCCGUAGUGCUCGAUCCUCGGCCUGAUCCCGUGCUCACUGACCAUGGCAGCAAAGUACCUCCUCCCUUCGUCGACCAGUCCACCGUGGUUGCAGGCACUGAGCACCGCGACGAACGUGAUGGCAUUUGGCACCAGGCCCUCCACCCUCGUCAUCCGAUCGAACAGAUCGAGCGAGUCCUGGACGCGGCCGUGGUUGGCGAGCGCGAGUACCAUGGCGUUCCAGGACGCGAGGUCCCGCUCGGACAUCCGGUCGAACACCUGGCGCGCGAGCU
rnacentral:misc_RNA from 1 species